rnacentral:rRNA from 1 species
CUACGGGUGGCUGCAGUGGGGAAUAUUGCGCAAUGGGCGAAAGCCUGACGCAGCAACGCCGCGUGGGUGAUGAAGGUCUUCGGGUCGUAAAACCCUGUCAGAGGGGAAGAAAUGGUUGGAACUUAAAUUCUCCAUCCUUGACGGUACCCUCAGAGGAAGCGCCGGCUAACUCCGUGCCAGCAGCCGCGGUAAUACGGGGGGCGCAAGCGUUGUUCGGAAUCACUGGGCGUAAAGCGCGUGUAGGCGGAUUGUUAAGUCAGAUGUGAAAGCCCACGGCUCAACCGCGGAACUGCAUUUGAAACUGGCAGUCUGGAGUGUGGUAGAGGGAAGGGGAAUUCCCGGUGUAGAGGUGAAAUUCGUAGAUAUCGGGAGGAAUACCGGUGGCGAAGGCGCCUUCCUGGACCAAAACUGACGCUGAGACGCGAAAGCGUGGGGAGCAAACAGGAUUAGAUACCCGCGUAGUC